CAGGAAGCAAGUUACAGAACCAAGGGCUCUGUUCAUAAACUGUUCAACAUCUUUUAUCACAUAAGGGGAGGUGCCCGCAACGAUGGCCUGCUGCAGAAUACAGAGUGGCUUUUUCAUGUUUGAUGGGUUGUAAGAAACAAAAAGCCAACUAUGGCAUCUAUGAAGACUAUGCAACAGAGACUAUUUAUAUUCUGGGAUAAUCUAGCAAAUGAGCUGCGCAUCAAAAUAAUGGAUUAGUGGUUUAAAAACGUGUUCACUGUUAAAAGGAAAACAUGAAAAUGAUGAAAGCUAAAAUAAUGGUCCAUCAUACAAAAGUAUAUCUUUUUACACUAUUAAAACCAACAUAAGCCAUUUAUUUUCAGUAAAUAUAAUUGGAUAACAAUCGUUAAUUUAAACUGUAUUGAUUUUAUUUUUGUUUAAUUGAAAAAUUGGUUUUGAAUUUACCUGUAUAUGAGAGUUAUAAGGAGUUAAUUCUUAGUUUUAUGUUUAUGUAUAUUUAAGUUACACAGAAAUAAUUUCAGUCAACAUGUGAAAUCUGGAAGACUAAAAUUUUCUAUAUAAAAGAUCUACACAUU
ensembl:lncRNA MAP3K20-AS1 MAP3K20 antisense RNA 1